rnacentral:rRNA from 1 species
GACGAACGCUGGCGGCGUGCCUAAUACAUGCAAGUAGAACGCACAGGAUGCACCGUAGUUUACUACACCGUAUUCUGUGAGUUGCGAACGGGUGAGUAACGCGUAGGUAACCUGCCUGGUAGCGGGGGAUAACUAUUGGAAACGAUAGCUAAUACCGUAUAAGAACAUUUACUGCAUGGUAGAUGUUUAAAAGGUGCAAGAGCAUCACUACCAGAUGGACCUGCGUUGUAUUAGCUAGUUGGUGAGGUAACGGCUCACCAAGGCAACGAUACAUAGCCGACCUGAGAGGGUGAUCGGCCACACUGGGACUGAGACACGGCCCAGACUCCUACGGGAGGCAGCAGUAGGGAAUCUUCGGCAAUGGGGGGAACCCUGACCGAGCAACGCCGCGUGAGUGAAGAAGGUUUUCGGAUCGUAAAGCUCUGUUGUUAAGGAAGAACGUGUGUGAGAGUGGAAAGUCACACAGUGACGGUACUAACCAGAAA